rnacentral:misc_RNA from 1 species
AUCAUUUUGUGAAAUUGUUGAAAGCAAGAAAAUACUUUACUUUUUUCUCUCAUCAAAUAAACACAUGUCAGCUUGGUGCAAUAAUCAAUAAAAGUGACAGACCAUCUAUAUCCAGACAAAGAUGUAGUUUGGGUAGGUCCCCAUACAGCAGAAUGAAUAGUCAUAAAAAGGACCAAACUCCUAUUAUCUGUUGAAGGAUAAGAUUGUCUUAUGUGUUUAACAAAUUCACAAGUAUCACAAACUAGUAAUUCUGAGUUGCAACUUCUAAACAAUGUAUGAUAUAACGUUUUUAAAACAGAAAAAGAUGGAUGUUCUAAACUCCUAUGCUACUGGAUAAUUUUCUCAUUAGUACUCAUAGACAGUCUUAACAAAGCUUUGUUUGCCUCCUAUGUAAUGAGUAGAAAAAAAUUCAAUUUGCCAAUUACGAGCUUAGUAAUAGAAUCGGCAGAUAAAAGAUUAAUAAAAAAGCAGGGAACAUGAAGAACUAAAGUGAAAUUUAUAUUAGGAGUACAUGUAACAGAACUUAUACUAAAAAUUAUUAUUAAGGAAUUGUUCGCUAUACGAAAAUUUUCUUUUCCUGAGCAUGGAGAAUAGGUAGAGAAUUUAUUUGAAGAGCCCGUCAUAUGUUUGUUUGCUCUAAAAUCUAUAACCUAAUAAGAUUUGUCAAGAUUGGCGAGAAAAGUAUUACCUGAUUUGACAAUUGGAAGAGCCAAUUGUGGAAGGUUAAGAUUCAAGCCGAGACAACAAACGCCUUAGGGAUUGAACUUCUUUAUUGGAAAAAAUGCCAAUAUCAUUUGUUCUUUCAGAGUAAUCCACUAUUUCAGACAUAUUCGCUUGUGAUCAGAUUAAGGACAAUAGCUGGAUAGAAACACAACACAUGAGGAACAUUUAAAAACAUAGUUGUUAAAGGCUUAAGGUGCACCGAGACACCAAGGGACCUGAAGCCUAUGUGCAAGGCGCAAGGCGCGUGCCUAAGCAGGUGAGGUGCAAAAAUUAAAAAAAAAUUAUAAAAAUACAUUAUAUAAGCACUAUAGGUUUAAUUAAUGUAAUAUUAAUUACAUAUGAUAAUAUAUGUAAUUUAUUAUUUAUUUUAUUGCUUAUUGCACCACCAUUAUCAAUUAAAUUAUAUAUAUGAGUAAAAAUUGUUAUUAAAAUACAUUAUAUUAAUUUUAUUUUUAAUCAUAUAAAAUAUUAAAAUGAUAAUUUUAAUUUUCUAUUGCAGUAAAAUUUUAAUUUUUCUAUAUAUUUAGUAUAUUAUACCUUCCUAAACAUAAAAAUUAUUUUAAAUUGAAUAAUUCAUUAAAUUUUUUCUUUAAUUAUGCUUAUAACAGUUAGAUACUUAAUUAUUUUUGCCUAAAAAUACAAAAUAAUUAAAUUUCAAGUUUAUUUUAUUGGUAAUUUAUGAAUACCCGGCAGUAAUACUACCCGAAAAUGCCCAUCCCUCAAGCAAAGUAAUUAAUUAGGGUUAAACAUCAGCAUCAACAUUCUACAGCCAAAACAUCAAAGAAGAAGCGGCAACGGUAGCAGGGAAUUAAAAAAAAAAAGCACCAGAAAAUCAAUUUGGUAGAAAAAAAGAAAAGCAAUCCAUACCGGAUCAGCAAGAAGAAAAGAAUAAGAAAGAAAGAAGAAGCAAAUCAUGAGUGAGAAGAAAAGAAAGAAGAAGCAGAUUACGAGCAAGAAGAAGAAAGAAAGGAGAGGAAAAAAAAAAAAAAAAACUUGGAUCUCCUAGAGAUUUUGAAGAUGAAGCAGAAGCCAGGUGUGUUUUCAUCUUCUUCCUCCUCCUCCUCCUUUCUCGUGAGUUGAGCCUUGUUGCGUCUGCAACUGGUUGUUGGGAAAAUAAAAGGUCCUUCUUGAAAUAUGGUGCGCCUUGGCUCGCCUUGGUGCGUUAUCUGAAAAUCGCCUGCCUGGAGUGUUUCUAGGUACAAACAUUGGAGCUGGUGGGCUUUGUGCCUUAGGUGCGCCUAAUAAUUAUGAUCUUUACAAAUUUAUCCCUAAAUAUUGUAAUUGUUUAGUAAUAAGUCUAUAUUUUUAUAAAUUGAUCCCUAAAUAUUAUAAUUAUUUAUGAAUAAGUCCUAAUAUUUUUACAAAUUGAUCUUAAAUAUUGUAAUUAUUUACAAAUAAGCCUAAAUGAUAUAAUUAUUUAGGGAUAAGCCCUUAUGUUUUUACAAAUUGAUCUCUAAACAUUAUAAUUAUUUAUGCCGAAGUCCCUAUAUUUUUACAAAUUGAUCCCUAAAUAUUGAUCCCAUAUUGAUUUGAUUUAGUCAAUUUGUUAUUUUAAUUUACAUUAAUUUGUCUCAAAUCUUAGUUAUUCGUGAAAACAUUCAUACGCAAUCAAUAAAAUGUGUCCUCAAAGAAAUAGUAAUCAAAAAUCAAAGAAACCCAAUCAAUAAUCAAUAAAAUCAAUCACAGACUGCAUAAAUUUUCAACAAAUUUCUCAUAAUUAGUAGCAAAUUUUCUCAUGCAUACACAACACAAGGAAAAUCAAUAAUCAAACAAAUAACCUCUACGCCAAAUAUGAAAAGCUUUGGACAUUGCAUGAACAUGCGCCGAUUGCUCUUGGUGCAGCUGGAGUUACGGUUAUGAUUACACGUAUGCAUUGCGAAGAAGACGGGAUGAUUGAAACUUCAGAGCC